GGUCCGAUGGUGUAGUUGGUUAUCACUUCUGUCUAACAGUUUACGGAUCACGUGACUGGAACACAGGCGGUCCUCAGUUCGAACCUGGGUCGGAUCA